ACCUGCGGAGGGAUCAUUACCGAGUUUACAACUCCCAAACCCCUGUGAACAUACCUUACUGUUGCCUCGGCGGAUCAGCCCGCUCCCGGUAAAACGGGACGGCCCGCCAGAGGACCCCUAAACUCUGUUUCUAUAUGUAACUUCUGAGUAAAACCAUAAAUAAAUCAAAACUUUCAACAACGGAUCUCUUGGUUCUGGCAUCGAUGAAGAACGCAGCAAAAUGCGAUAAGUAAUGUGAAUUGCAGAAUUCAGUGAAUCAUCGAAUCUUUGAACGCACAUUGCGCCCGCCAGUAUUCUGGCGGGCAUGCCUGUUCGAGCGUCAUUUCAACCCUCAAGCCCUCGGGUUUGGUGUUGGGGAUCGGCGAGCCUUUCUGGCAAGCCGGCCCCGAAAUCUAGUGGCGGUCUCGCUGCAGCCUCCAUUGCGUAGUAGUAAAACCCUCGCAACUGGAACGCGGCGCGGCCAAGCCGUUAAACCCCCAACUUCUGAAUGUUGACCUCGGAUCAGGUAGGAAUACCCGCUGAACUUAAGCAUAUCAA
rnacentral:rRNA from 1 species